UGGGGAAUAUUGGACAAUGGGCGAAAGCCUGAUCCAGCCAUGCCGCGUGUGUGAAGAAGGCCUUAUGGUUGUAAAGCACUUUAAGCGAGGAGGAGGGUACUGGUAUUAAUACUACCAGGUACUGGACGUUACUCGCAGAAUAAGCACCGGCUAACUCUGUGCCAGCAGCCGCGGUAAUACAGAGGGUGCGAGCGUUAAUCGGAUUUACUGGGCGUAAAGCGUGCGUAGGCGGCUAAUUGAGUCGGAUGUGAAAUCCCCGAGCUUAACUUGGGAAUUGCAUUCGAUACUGGUUAGCUAGAGUGUGGGAGAGGAUGGUAGAAUUCCAGGUGUAGCGGUGAAAUGCGUAGAGAUCUGGAGGAAUACCGAUGGCGAAGGCAGCCAUCUGGCCUAACUCUGACGCUGAGGUACGAAAGCAUGGGGAGCAAACAGG
rnacentral:rRNA from 1 species